rnacentral:rRNA from 1 species
GAUGAACGCUGGCGGCGUGCCUAAUACAUGCAAGUCGAGCGAACAGAUAAGGAGCUUGCUCCUUUGACGUUAGCGGCGGACGGGUGAGUAACACGUGGAUAACCUACCUAUAAGACUGGGAUAACUUCGGGAAACCGGAGCUAAUACCGGAUAACAUAUUGAACCGCAUGGUUCAAUAGUGAAAGGCGGCUUUGCUGUCACUUAUAGAUGGAUCCGCGCCGUAUUAGCUAGUUGGUAAGGUAACGGCUUACCAAGGCAACGAUACGUAGCCGACCUGAGAGGCUGAUCGGCCACACUGGAACGAAGACACGGUCCAGACUCCUACGGGAGGCAGCAGUAGGGAAUCUUCCGCAAUGGGCGAAAGCCUGACGGAGCAACGCCGCGUGAGUGAUGAAGGUCUUCGGAUCGUAAAACUCUGUUAUCAGGGAAGAACAAAUGUGUAAGUAACUGUGCACAUCUUGACGGUACCUGAUCAGAAAGCCACGGCUAACUACGUG